rnacentral:rRNA from 1 species
AGCAGCCGCGGUAAUUCCAGCUCCAAUAGCGUAUAUUAAAGUUGUUGCAGUUAAAAAGCUCGUAGUUGAAUUUCGGGAUCGAAUUGUCGGUCGUGCUUCGGUACGCACUGGCAUUAUCGGUUUCUACCUUCUGAAGAACCGCGAUGUCAUUAAUUUGGUGUCGUGGGGAAUCAGGACUGUUACCUUGAAAAAAUUAGAGUGUUUAAAGCAGGCUUACGCUUGAAUACAUUAGCAUGGAAUAGUGAAAUAGGACGUUUGAUUCUAUUUUGUUGGUUUCUAGGAUCGACGUAAUGAUUAAUAGGGAUAGUUGGGGGCAUUAGUAUUCAAUUGUCAGAGGUGAAAUUCUUGGAUUUAUUGAAGACUAACUACUGCGAAAGCAUUUGCCAAGGAUGUUUUCAUUAAUCAAGAACGAAAGUUAGGGGAUCGAAGACGAUCAGAUACCGUCGUAGUCUUAACCAUAAACUAUGCCGACUAGGGAUCGGAUGAUGUUAAUUUUAUAAUGACUC